rnacentral:tRNA from 1 species
GCCGCUUUAGCUCAGCAGGUAGAGCACCCCCGUGGUAAGGAGGAGGUCCUCAGUUCAACUCUGGGAAGCGGCU